ensembl:lncRNA
GGAUGGACAGACCAGGCCUCUCACACUGGGCAGACAGGGGCCCUGGGAUGGACAGACCAGGCCUCUCACACUGGGCAGACAGGGGUCCUGGGAUGGACAGAUCAGGCCUCUCUCACUGGGCAGACAGGGGUCCUGGGAUGGACAGGUCAGGCCUCUCUGACUGGGCAGACAGGAGUCCUAGGAUGGACAGAUCAGGCCUCUCACACUGGGCAGACAGGGGUCCUGGGAUGGACAGAUCAGGCCUCUCACACUGGGCAGACAGGAGUCCUAGGAUGAACAGCUCAGGCCUCUCACACUGGGCAGACAGGGGUCCUAGGAUGAACAGAUC